UACGAAGGGGGGCUAGCGUUGCUCGGAAUUACUGGGCGUAAAGCGCACGUAGGCGGAUUGUUAAGUCAGGGGUGAAAUCCUGGAGCUCAACUCCAGAACUGCCUUUGAUACUGGCGAUCUCGAGUCCGGGAGAGGUGAGUGGAACUGCGAGUGUAGAGGUGAAAUUCGUAGAUAUUCGCAAGAACACCAGUGGCGAAGGCGGCUCACUGGCCCGGUACUGACGCUGAGGUGCGAAAGCGUGGGGAGCAAACAGG
rnacentral:rRNA from 1 species